rnacentral:rRNA from 1 species
AUGCACGCUGGCGGCGUGCCUAAUACAUGCAAGUCGAGCGAACGGACGAGAAGCUUGCUUCCCUGAUGUUAGCGGCGGACGGGUGAGUAACACGUGGAUAACCUACCUAUAAGACUGGGAUAACUUCGGGAAACCGGAGCUAAUACCGGAUGAUAUUUUGAACCGCAUGGUUCAAAAGUGAAAGACGGUCUUGCUGUCACUUAUAGAUGGAUCCGCGCUGCAUUAGCUAGUUGGUAAGGUAACGGCUUACCAAGGCAACGAUGCAUAGCCGACCUGAGAGGGUGAUCGGCCACACUGGAACUGAGACACGGUCCAGACUCCUACGGGAGGCAGCAGUAGGGAAUCUUCCGCAAUGGGCGAAAGCCUGACGGAGCAACGCCGCGUGAGUGAUGAAGGUCUUCGGAUCGUAAAACUCUGUUAUUAGGGAAGAACAUAUGUGUAAGUAACUGUGCACAUCUUGACGGUACCUAAUCAGAAAGCCACGGCUAACUACGUG